rnacentral:rRNA from 1 species
AUGGAACGUUUUACAGUACAUUUCUUUCCUUCUAAAUGUGAAUUCAUGUACAUCAUCAAGCAUUUCACAUUUGCUGUAGCACUAUGUAAUGGUGUACUUCUUUUAGAAAUUCUGCUCCUUACGUUUAUAAAUUCUACAUAUGGUUUCUCAUCACUUGGUAUAUAUAUAUCACGUUUUGGGCAACGAAUUAUUCAGCGUUCUAUGUUAAAGCUUUCAACCUUGAAAUCACAUUUUGUUUGGGCAUGUGCUAUAUGUACCAUUUUAGAAGUAGUCCACAUAUUUCUGUCCUGCUAUAGUCUUUUUUAA